rnacentral:rRNA from 1 species
AACGCGAAGAACCUUACCUGGGCUUGAACUACUCGUGGUAGUUUGCUGGAAACAGUGAACGACCCGCAAGGGAGCGAGCAGAGGUGCUGCAUGGUUGUCGUCAGCUCGUGUCGUGAGAUGUUGGGUUAAGUCCCGCAACGAGCGCAACCCCUAUCCAAUGUUGCUACUCCCGCAAGGGAGGCACUCUUUGGAAACUGCCUUCGAUAAGAAGGAGGAAGGUGGGGACGACGUCAAAUCCUCAUGGCCCUUAUGUCCAGGGCUACACACGUGUUACAAUGGCCGGUACAAUGGGAAGCAAUACCGUAAGGUGGAGCCAAACCCCAAAGCCGGCCCCAGUUCAGAUUGUGGGCUGCAACUCGCCCACAUGAAGGCGGAAUCGCUAGUAAUCGCUGAUCAGCAGGCAGCGGUGAAUACGUUCCCGGGCCUUGUA